rnacentral:rRNA from 1 species
GACGUAGGAGGCGAGCGUUGUCCGGAUUCAUUGGGCGUAAAGGGCUCGUAGGCGGUUUGUCGCGUCGGGAGUGAAAACACCGGGCUUAACUCGGUGCUGGCUUUCGAUACGGGCAGACUAGAGGUAUUCAGGGGAGAACGGAAUUCCUGGUGUAGCGGUGAAAUGCGCAGAUAUCAGGAGGAACACCGGUGGCGAAGGCGGUUCUCUGGGAAUGUCCUGACGCUGAGGAGCGAAAGUGUGGGGAGCGAACAGG